UAAUGUUCUUGAUAAAAAAAUAAAUAAAAAUAAAUCAGAUGAAUGCACCAGCUGUGGGUGUGGCUAUCACCUGAUCACCUGACCACCCAGUUUCACACUGACCUUUCUGACUGGUUCUGCUUUCCUAUAUAAUGUCCACACGUGAAAGCAAAUACUCUCAAACUCACACUGACUCGACACACGAGUCAAGCAGCUGUCUUAAACAUAACUUAACCUGUCAGAUGUUCACUGUGGAUCCUGAGCUCGGCGAGACUUUCUCAUAUUCAGAGUGAUUUUAAUAAUCAUUAAAGCAGCACUGGAUAUCACUACAUGUCCUCUCGUCACAGUUUCACUCCAGAGAAGAGAUUAAUGAUUAAACACAUGGAGGCUGAAGAGAGAGAGAGAUGAAGACACAAACCAGUGAACACAUGAAUCUUGUGAGAUGCUGGAGCUUGAAUGAUAUUAGACUGAACUUCUCUGCUGAUCCACACACAGCUGUGAAGAGUCCUGAUGUAUCAAAGAGAAACACAUGUCAGGGAAGACACUGAUACAUCCUAAACAGACUGAAACAAAGUUACACUUCAGCCAAAACCGACACUCUUCCUCAGUGUCUCUGACUGGUUUUAAACAUUCUUAACUCAAGAUACAUUUACUGGAGAAGCAAAACAUUUUAAAGUCUUGUUUUCUGAAUAAUGUAGCAAUAUUAAGUGUGUUCAUGCUUAAAACAAGAACAAAUAUCUGGGGUCAGAAAAAUAAUCUUGUUUCCCUUUGUGAAAUUGAUUAUCAGAUAUUUCUUUAAAGCAUGAACUCACUUAAUAUAGAUACAUUAUUCAGACGUCAACUUAAAAUGUCCCCAUCAUGAUUUAAAGAUGUUUAGAUAUUUAUACUUAUACAAGAAAUACCAAGGAAGAACAUAAUUUUUUGUAGCAUGGAAGUACGUUAUAUUCUUUCUUCUUCAUUUGAAUACGUGUCAUUUCUUUACUACGAUUUAUAUUAUCAAUGGACAUUACUUUAAGUCAUCUCUCAUAACAAAUGACUCUUUAUUGUAAUGUAGAAGCAUGCAUCUCCUGUAAAUCUACACUUUGAAAUGAGAAAGCGCUAAACAAACUUCAACUGAAUUUCAUGCUGGCAGCUAUAAUGGUUUCAGUUGAUGCAUCGUUUCAAUCAGCAAUGAUGAAUCAGCAUGUGUGACUGUAUUAAUGGAUUGUGUUUUUAUUUGAUGAAAUCGGCACACUGCAGUCUGUUCUGGACUCUCCAGCUCCUGACAGCAUCUUUAUUUGUGAUGCAUUUCAAUGCAUUUCUCAUCUUUUGAUGUUUACUGUGCCUUCUGUGUUUGGCGUCAUAUUGCUGCUUGCACAUUUUUGUAUUAUAUUUUUGUCCUAAAUCUAAGCUAUUUAAAGUAUUAUUUUACCAUACAUACCACAGUUAAAGGAUGAACUUCCAUCUGUUAUCUGUCUUUUACGUUUUAAUAAGAUGUAAGCACAACACAAUGCAGAAUUUAGAAUUCAUGUUACUGAUGUUUUCUGUAAUAUAUACAUUUUUUCUGUAAUGUUUUUGUUUAUCAUGUUUUUAAAAACUCUACUGUAAUAGCACUGGACUGAAAAUGCAGUGUUGAUUCAGCAUUAAAAGACGCACUUUGUUAUUCAAAUA